GAGUGAAUAUCGGCCUGUAAUGGUCCCACAACUUGAGACAAUAGAUGGCUGGAAACACUCAGCUGUGAAGGACAAGAAUGCACAUAAUCGAGUGCAGAGGAGACAUGUGCGGAUGUUACCAGAACUGGAAAAUAGAGGCUAUGAGAGAAGAUUGGAUAAACUAUUGUUUUUCUUCCCCCUAUGCAACCGAGGAGGCUGGAUGUGAGACUUAAUUGAAGUUUAUGUCAUCAGGAUUGGGCCUGGAUGGAAUAAAUAUGAAUAAGCUAUUUCACCCAGAAAAGACUCAAAACCAGGAAGUAUAGAUUUAAAUACGGUUUGAGAAAAGCCAUAAUUCCGUAAGCAAAAUCAAGCAAAACCUCGUGGAGCCUCUGUAAUUGUCAAGUCAAGAAAGUCAAGUGUGUUUAAUUGUCAUAAGUAUCGACAAUGGAACAAUUACAUUUUUCCUUAUUAUAGCUUAACAAGCCCAUAACUCAAUACACACAGAUAAUAUAUAACAAUCGAUAAAUUCGAUAAAUUAAUAACCAUAAUACUAAAUCAAAAACACAGAUCAAUUUCAGAUCACUUCAGUAUCGUAAAGUUCGUAGUGUAA